rnacentral:rRNA from 1 species
UACAGAGGUCUCAAGCGUUGUUCGGAUUCAUUGGGCUUAAAGGGCGCGUAGGCGGGUCUCCAAGUCGGUGGUGAAAUCGUUCGGCCCAACCGGAAAAGUGCCGCCGAUACUGGGAGCCUCGAGGGAGGUAGGGGUCGAGGGAACUCUAGGUGGAGCGGUGAAAUGCGUAGAUAUCUGGAGGAACGCCGGUGGCGAAAGCGCUCGACUGGACCUCUUCUGACGCUGAGGCGCGAAAGCCAGGGGAGCAAACGGG